AUAUCCAGGAGCUUGCUCUUGGUGAAAGCGGCGCACGGGUGAGUAACGCGUGGAUAACGUACCUUAAGGUUGGGAAUAACCUGCCGAAAGGCGGGCUAAUACCGAAUAUGUUCAUUUGAAGCGCGCUUUGAAUGAGUAAAGCGGGGCAACUCGCGCCAUAAGAUCGGUCCGCGUCCUAUCAGCUAGUUGGUGGGGUAAUGGCCUACCAAGGCGAAGACGGGUAACUGGUCUGAGAGGACGACCAGUCACACUGGGACUGAGACACGGCCCAGACUCCUACGGGAGGCAGCAGUGGGGAAUAUUGGUCAAUGGGCGAAAGCCUGAACCAGCAAUGCCGCGUGGGUGAUGAAGGCCUUCGGGUUGUAAAGCCCUGUCAGUGGGAAAGAAAAAGCCGGUUAACACCCGGACUUGACGGUACCCACAAAGGAAGCACCGGCUAACUCUGUGCCAGCAGCCGCGGUAAUACAGAGGGUGCAAGCGUUGUUCGGAAUUACUGGGCGUAAAGCGCGUGUAGGCGGCUUCUUAAGUCGGACGUGAAAUCCCUGGGCUUAACCCAGGAACUGCGUCCGAUACUAUCAAGCUCGAGUGUCGGAGGGGGUGGCGGAAUUCCCGGUGUAGAGGUGAAAUUCGUAGAUAUCGGGAGGAACACCUGUGGC
rnacentral:rRNA from 1 species